rnacentral:rRNA from 1 species
UAGAUACCCUGGUAGUCCACGCCGUAAACGAUGUCGACCAGCCGUUGGGUGCCUAGCGCACUUUGUGGCGAAGUUAACGCGAUAAGUCGACCGCCUGGGGAGUACGGCCGCAAGGUUAAAACUCAAAUGAAUUGACGGGGGCCCGCACAAGCGGUGGAGCAUGUGGUUUAAUUCGAUGCAACGCGAAGAACCUUACCUACUCUUGACAUCCUGCGAAUUUGGUAGAGAUACCUUAGUGCCUUCGGGAACG